CUUCUCUUUGCGCCCUUUGUUUUAUCUCAGGUGAAUUGUAAUCAUGUGAUCAAACGAACACCCCCUUCCAUUAUCCCCUUAAAAUGAAAAAAUGAGGAACAAAAAACAGUUCUGUGUAUAUGAAAAGAAAAAGAGAAAAAGACAUGUCUCCGUUUAGUGCGUCUCUUUGUCUGGGUCUCAGCAAACGCUCACAUAUAGGGGAAAAUGCUCCAAGAUCUCUACUUUGCUUAUGGAUCUCUGUCGCACUGUCCAGCUCUUGAGAGGGGGAAAUUUAAAAUGCAACUCCGGUGGACUGGCUGGUCCUUCAGGAUUUGUGGCCUGACCGCAACAUUGAAGUACUUCUGGUUCAGGAGGACAACAUCAACUGAGGACAUGAUUACACUGAAGAUCACAUCCGUCAAUGUCGGAGUAAUCAUGACGCUGGUCACUUUUUGGUUACAGGAGUUGAAAUGAGACAGAGAGAGAAGAAAAGGAGGGAGAUGGUGCUGGUGGCGGACAGUGUUGUGGAAGGAUGACGACGCCAACAGGACAUCUCCUAAACCACGUCAUACUUGUCCCAGGUUAAUCACUGGAGCAGGAUUACAUACCAUUUGGCAUAUGGGUUCUUACUGCACAUCAAGACAUAUCUCAAACACAUAGGAAGAUAAUACACAAGCUGGGCCCAAGCAGUCCUCUCUGAGAUGUAUAAAAAGGAACAGUAUGCGUAUGAGCCUACCGAUGGCUGUUCAAAAUGGGUAGGGUUCGGUUGCGAUGUGUUUCUUGUUGUCAUUAUGAUUUUUUGUUGUAUUUAUUGAUGAGAAACCAAUGGGAUGUAGGCCUACAAGGAAAGUAAUAAAACAAGAAAAUAAUAAAGGUGGACCCAACCACAAGUUCCUUGUUUUCUCAAACGCUACAGUUAAAGCCCAUGCUAUUCUAAAACCAGAUUUAGGGUUUGGGAUUGUAUAACUGAAUGAUAAAACAUGCUAUUCUAAUACCAG